ACCUCUGGCGUCGAGCGGCGGACGGGUGAGUAAUGCUUGGGAACAUGCCUUGAGGUGGGGGACAACCGUUGGAAACGACGGCUAAUACCGCAUAAUGUCUACGGACCAAAGGGGGCUUCGGCUCUCGCCUUUAGAUUGGCCCAAGUGGGAUUAGCUAGUUGGUGGGGUAAUGGCUCACCAAGGCGACGAUCCCUAGCUGGUUUGAGAGGAUGAUCAGCCACACUGGGACUGAGACACGGCCCAGACUCCUACGGGAGGCAGCAGUGGGGAAUAUUGCACAAUGGGCGCAAGCCUGAUGCAGCCAUGCCGCGUGUGUGAAGAAGGCCUUCGGGUUGUAAAGCACUUUCAGCAAGGAGGAAAGGGUGUAAGUUAAUACCUUACAUCUGUGACGUUACUUGCAGAAGAAGCACCGGCUAACUCCGUGCCAGCAGCCGCGGUAAUACGGAGGGUGCGAGCGUUAAUCGGAAUUACUGGGCGUAAAGCGUACGCAGGCGGUUUGUUAAGCGAGAUGUGAAAGCCCCGGGCUUAACCUGGGAACUGCAUUUCGAACUGGCAGGCUAGAGUGUGAUAGAGGGUGGUAGAAUUUCAGGUGUAGCGGUGAAAUGCGUAGAGAUCUGAAGGAAUACCGAUGGCGAAGGCAGCCACCUGGGUCAACACUGACGCUCAUG
rnacentral:rRNA from 1 species